AGUUUGUGCGUGAAUCUA
rnacentral:snRNA from 1 species